rnacentral:rRNA from 1 species
CCUACGGGAGACAGCAGUGAGGAAUAUUGGUCAAUGGGCGCGAGCCUGAACCAGCCAAGUAGCGUGAAGGAUGAAUGCCCUACGGGUUGUAAACUUCUUUUAUAAAGGAAUAAAGUGAGGCACGUGUGCCUUUUUGUAUGUACGUUAUGAAUAAGGAUAGGAUAACUCCGUGCCAGCAGCCGCGGUAAGACGGAGGAUCCGAGCGUUAUCCGGAUUUAUUGGGUUUAAAGGGAGCGUAGAUGGGUUGUUAAGUCAGUUGUGAAAGUUUGCGGCUCAACCGUAAAAUUGCAAUUGAUACUGGCAGCCUUGAGUGCAUUUGAGGUAGGCGUAAUUCGUGGUGUAGCGGUGAAAUGCUUAGAUAUCUCGAAGAACUCCGAUUGCGAAGGCAGCUUACUAAACUGCCACUGCCAUUGAUGCUCGAAAGUGUGGGUAUCAAACAGGAUUAGAUACCCUAGUAGUC